GUCGGUUAUGGCGACAUGGUACCCAAGACUUAUAUAGGAAUGUUUGUUGGCGCUCUUUGUGCACUCGCCGGUGUGCUUACGAUUGCCUUGCCAGUUCCUGUGAUCGUGUCCAAU
rfam:Agrilus planipennis Contig51465, whole genome shotgun sequence.